rnacentral:miRNA from 1 species
CUGGAUGGCUGUGAAUUGUCU